CUUAGUUCGGGUAGAUAAUAUCCGUUGCGCAUACUUUGAUAAUGUUGAAACACUCGGCAGAUCGAGUAACAAGGAGACCAUAGCUGAGCUGGUGUGGGGAUUUUUCAGUUACUGGGCAUACGGUCACGACUAUGCGAACACCGUUGUAUCUGUCCGCACCGGUUCCAUACUUGGGUAAAAAAAUCAAAACACUCUAAUCUUCUACUUUAUGUGAAGCAAUCUCAGAGAUGAAAAAAUGAAAUCAAUAUGUGUUGGUUGCAGGAAGCGAGAGAAGAACUGGACCAGAAGGGUGGGGAACGAUAGGCACCUGAUAUGCAUAGAGGAUCCGUUUGAGACGAGCCAUGAUCUGGGUCGAGUCGUGGAUAAGUUUAGUAUCCGAGUGUUGAGAGAAGAGUUCGAACGAGCUGCAGAGGUUAUGCAUGAAGAUCCUAAC
rnacentral:lncRNA from 1 species